GACGUAGGGGGCGAGCGUUGUCCGGAUUUAUUGGGCGUAAAGCGCGCGUAGGCGGCCUGUUAAGUCGAACGUGAAAUCCCCGGGCUCAACCCGGGAACUGCGUCCGAUACUGGCAGGCUUGAAUUCGGGAGAGGGAUGCGGAAUUCCAGGUGUAGCGGUGAAAUGCGUAGAUAUCUGGAGGAAUACCGGUGGCGAAGGCGGCAUCCUGGACCGACAUUGACGCUGAGGAGCGAAAGCUAGGGGAGCAAACGGG
rnacentral:rRNA from 1 species